CCUACGGGGGGCAGCAGUGAGGAAUAUUGGUCAAUGGACGAGAGUCUGAACCAGCCAAGUAGCGUGAAGGAUGACAGCCCUAUGGGUUGUAAACUUCUUUUAUAUGGGAAUAAAAUGUUCCACGUGUGGGGUUUUGUAUGUACCAUAUGAAUAAGGAUCGGCUAACUCCGUGCCAGCAGCCGCGGUAAUACGGAGGAUCCGAGCGUUAUCCGGCUUUAUUGGGUUUAAAGGGAGCGUAGGUGGAUUGUUAAGUCAGCUGUGAAAGUUUGCGGCUCAACCGUAACAGUGCAGUUGAAACUGUGAGUCUUGAGUACAGGAGAGGUGGGCGGAAUUCGUGGUGUAGCGGUGAAAUGCUUAGAUAUCACGAAGAACUCCGAUUGCGAAGGCAGCUCACUGGACUGCAACUGACACUGAGGCUCGAAAGUGUGGGUAUCAAACAGGAUUAGAUACCCUGGUAGUC
rnacentral:rRNA from 1 species